rfam:Camelus ferus unplaced genomic scaffold scaffold1688, whole genome shotgun sequence.
GAGGGUCUAGCUCAGUGGUCGAGUGCAUGUUUAGCAUGCAUGAGGUCCUGAGUUCAAUCCCCAGUACCUCCA